rnacentral:rRNA from 1 species
UACAGAGGGUGCAAACGUUGUUCGGAAUUACUGGGCGUAAAGCGCGUGCAGGCGGCCUUGCAAGUCGGACGUGAAAUCCCACGGCUCAACCGUGGAAGUGCAUUCGAAACUGCGAGGCUAGAGUCCUGGAGAGGAAAGUGGAAUACUCGGUGUAGAGGUGAAAUUCGUAGAUAUCGAGUGGAACACCGGUGGCGAAGGCGGCUUUCUGGACAGGUACUGACGCUGAGACGCGAAAGUGUGGGGAGCGAACAGG